rnacentral:rRNA from 1 species
UUUGAUCCUGGCUCAGAACGAACGCUGGCGGCAGGCUUAACACAUGCAAGUCGAGCGCCCCGCAAGGGGAGCGGCAGACGGGUGAGUAACGCGUGGGAAUCUACCCUUGACUACGGAAUAACGCAGGGAAACUUGUGCUAAUACCGUAUGUGUCCUUCGGGAGAAAGAUUUAUCGGUCAAGGAUGAGCCCGCGUUGGAUUAGCUAGUUGGUGGGGUAAAGGCCUACCAAGGCGACGAUCCAUAGCUGGUCUGAGAGGAUGAUCAGCCACAUUGGGACUGAGACACGGCCCAAACUCCUACGGGAGGCAGCAGUGGGGAAUAUUGGACAAUGGGCGCAAGCCUGAUCCAGCCAUGCCGCGUGAGUGAUGAAGGCCCUAGGGUUGUAAAGCUCUUUCACCGGAGAAGAUAAUGA